rnacentral:rRNA from 1 species
UACGAAGGGGGCUAGCGUUGCUCGGAAUCACUGGGCGUAAAGGGUGCGUAGGCGGGUUUUUAAGUCAGGGGUGAAAUCCUGGAGCUCAACUCCAGAACUGCCUUUGAUACUGAAGAUCUUGAGUCCGGGAGAGGUGAGUGGAACUGCGAGUGUAGAGGUGAAAUUCGUAGAUAUUCGCAAGAACACCAGUGGCGAAGGCGGCUC